AGUCAGCCUGUGCUUUGAAGUUUUGAAGCCAGGCAUUGACUUCUCUCUAGCUAGGAUAGUCCCUGAUGGCAU
ensembl:miRNA